UACGGAGGGUGCAAACGUUGCUCGGAAUUAUUGGGCGUAAAGCGUGCGUAGGCGGUCUCGCAAGUCGGGUGUGAAAGCCCUCGGCUCAACCGAGGAAGUGCAUUCGAAACUACGAGACUUGAGUACCGGAGGGGAUGACGGAAUUCCCGGUGUAGAGGUGAAAUUCGUAGAUAUCGGGAGGAACACCAGUGGCGAAGGCGGUCAUCUGGACGGAUACUGACGCUGAGGCACGAAAGCGUGGGGAGCAAACAGG
rnacentral:rRNA from 1 species